rnacentral:tRNA from 1 species
AUUUAAAUAGUUUAAUUAAAAUAUUGAUUUGUGGUAUCAAUGAUAAGAAAAUUCUUUUUAAAUU